AGUAAGAUGACUGAAAGAUAAAGUGGUGGAUUGUAAAUCCAUAAACAAAGGUUUAACUCCUUUUCUUGCUA
rnacentral:tRNA from 1 species